rnacentral:lncRNA from 1 species
GGCCUGGUUCAGUUAUGGGCUGGAGUCUGCCCUCUGCAUGGGGCAGACGUCCACUGCCGACCAUUCUCCCAAGGGGACCUUCCGCAGAUUCUCGGAGCUCCCCAGCUUCCCCUGCGUCUCCCUUGGAUGUGGAGCGCCUCCUCUCCUUGGCCACAUUCAGCCCCCUCUCAGCCCUGGGCGUCCUUUCCGUGGGAUUCACUGCUCCUCCAGGCUGACCUCCGGGUGAGAUCAUUUAUAAAAUGAUUCCAGGCUCGCUCUUCAGCAAAGGGCCGGCCUUUGGUCCAAGGGAGCCAUGCACCUUUGUCCCACUGUGGCUGGAACAGCAGCUCGUUCCCAACACAGCCUCCUCUCCUGUUUUGCUCCACCAGGCCCAGCGAGCCUCUCACGUUUGAUUUCUCGCAGCACACGUCUGGUGCCAGCCCUUGUGUCUUCUGAACUUCAGGGGCAUGGAGAGCUCUGCCAGCGGCUGUCGGGAAGUGUCUUUAUUGUGCAUCUCAUCGGUGAGCAGGAAGCUCUCCCUCUGCUUCCCACUGGGGUCGGAACACAGCACACCCAUAGCAUUCCAGAACAGUCCCUACAAUCUGCCUCUUCCACAUUCCAGCUCCUUCUAUCUGGCCUAGAGACAUGAUCCUCAGUGCUGUUGCCUGUAAAGAAAGCGCAGUGAUGCCAACCCUCAAGAUUAUUUACAAGGCGAAGAGCCCAUCCACAGGGAAAAUCUCUGCCAGACUGAAGCGCUCCGCCACCUCUGCUCUUGUGCUUAUUUGCCGGACAACCUCACAGGCUGGUGCAACACUCUCCCUCUUUUCAGCCACAGGACGAAAGAGUCACGCUCCCAUACGUGACACCACCUCCAGGGAGAGCAGAGUUUUGAGCGAUGCCUGGUGCACUAGUUAGGACUUCACCUCUUCUCCCCGGUUGAAGGACGCCUGUGAGCUGGACUCAUGGUACGGCAGGGACAGCCUUGGCUCUGCACGAUUUUUUUCCUAAGUUACCAUUUUUAAAUUCCACUCUCUAGCUGUUGAGAUAGGAGGUUCCUCCCCAGAGGGUAGGACACUGUCCCUCAAAGGCUGCCGCCCUGCGCGGCAAGGGCUCACAGGAGUCCUCUGAUUUCAAGGAAAAUCUGUGCUGGCUUUUUGGGGGUGUCUGGAGACCAGUCUUGGGAGACACUGAUAGAGAAUGCCAGAAAGUUGGCUGUGUUUUGAGCUCAUUGCUGGUGAGUCUGUGUACCUGGCUCACAGGAAACGGGUCAGAUAGGGCUCUGUCUGGGGGCGAUUAUCCUGAUAUUCACCCUUUGGGGUACAUUUUCUAUAUUAUAUCAGUGGGAGAAAUGGCAGUGUCCAAGGGCAUGUGCUGGCCCCUACGUCGGGGGUUAUGAGACCCUCCUCACCCAUCUCCUGUGCAUCUGCCGGGGGGCCUGCCCUGCUCGCAGUCCCGCAUCUACCCGUGACCCACCCAUUUUUCUUAGAGAAACACUCGUGCUUUCCAUGCCUGAGGUUUGAGGGAAGUUGAGGCAUGUCACCCCUCCCCAGCUCCAGGGUGGGCACUCAGAGGCCUGAGUGGGUUCAACGAUGUGUCCCCAAGAUCCCAGCACACGUCACGGUGGCCCUGUGAGUUUUCAGGCCACGGACUCUCUGUCCCCUAUUAUCUGUUCCAGCUUGGUCAGAAUCAAGGUGGUGAACAUUCUUCCAUUAUUAUUUCUUUAAUUUGAAAAAAUGCAUAAUAAUGCACAAAUAUAUCCAACAAUACAGAAGUGAAAUGUGAAAUGCCCCUCCUCCGACACUUACUUCUCUCUUCCUAGAGGUCACCUCUGUUCUGUUUAUACCAUCUAGGUACCUAUAGAAAUACAUAGUUUUAAAAAUGCAUAAAUGGAACCAUACUAUGUAUGUCAUUCUGAAACUUCAUUUUUCACCAUCCAAUGUGCCUUGUGUGGAUCUUUCCCUGUAAGUAUGUACAGACUACUGUAUUCUUCCUGAUGGCUACAGGGUAUGUUUUAGGACCGUCCUAAAAUUUAUGCAGCCAUUUAGAGUCCAUUUUCACAGUUUGCAGUUCUUUUGCUCUAGCAGGCACAGCAUCAAUGAGUACCCACCUAUCUAUAUCUUCUAUCAUCUAUCUGUCUCUCUCCAUAUCUAUCAAUACACCCGAGUAUUGUGGUUAGGUGGAUUCCAAUUAGAUAUGUAAUUGAUAUAAUUGCUGGGUCAAAGAGAUGUACUUUAAAGUUUUUGAUAGAUAGUCCCACAUUACCUUCUGGAAAAUGUUCGGUAAUUGACAUUUCCCCCAACUGUGUACGAGUAUCCAUCUCUGUGCACCUUCUCCAAUACUGGAUAUUUUGAAUCUUUACCAUUUUCGUUAAUAGGAUGAGUAAGAAUGAUGAUAUCUUGUUGCUUUAAAUUCCAUUUUGAGGAUUCUUUGUAAUCAAGCAACCCAAGUCCGUUUCAGAUCGGUGUGGGAAAGGGUGCAGUGUUCAGUAGAUGCUGUUGGGAUAGCUGACUAUCCAUUUGGAAGAGUUACAGUGAGAUAACGAACGUAAAACCCAGGUAUGUGAAGGAUCAAACAUGCUUUUAAAAACCAUAGAAUUUGCAUGGGUCUCAUAUAAGACCAUUUUUAAGCCUGGUAAAUGAGAAGGCUUUUUUCUAGUAUGACAUAAAUGUGGAAGCCAUCAAAGAAAUGACAAAUUUGAGCACAUAAAUAUAUAAAACUAUAGAAAAAAUUAUCAUUAACAAAGUGAAAGACCAUUAUCUUUCUACAUAUUUAGCCGAUAGAGGGUUUAUGUGCUAAUAUUCAAAGAACUCCUGAAAUCAAAUAAGAAAAAGGCAAGUAUAGGAAGAAACAUAAAUGACUAUGUACAAUGUGCAAAUAUUUUCUCCUUCACUUUUUAUCUGAGAAAUUAAAAUUAAAUACUGAAUGUGAUGUUUAAUUUUAUGUGUCAACUUGGCUGGUCACAGUGCCCAUAUAUUUGGACAAACAUUAUUCUAGAUGUUUCUGUGAGGCUGUUUUUGGCUGAGAUUUACAUUUAAAUCAGUAGGCUUUGAGUAAAGCAGAGUUUGCUCUAUAAUAUUGGUGGGCCUCAUCUAAUCAGUUGAAGACCUGAGUAGAAUAAAAGGCCGACCUCCAGCA